AUCAACUCGAGACGGCGGGGUAGAGGCCCGCCGCGGUAACGACGGGUAACGGGGGAAUCAGGGUUCGAUUCCGGAGAGGGAGCCCCGAGAAACGGCUACCACUUCCAAGGAAGGCAGCAGGCGCGCAACUUACCCUAAUCUCGAUUCGAGGAGGUAGUGACAAGAAAUACCGAUGCGGGACCCUACGGGGUGCCGCGUUCGGAAUGAGUACGAUUCGAACCACCUAACGAGGAACGAUCGGAGGGCAAGUCUGGUGCCAGCAGCCGCGGUAAUUCCAGCUCCAAUAGCGUACGUUAAAGUUGCUGCAGUUAAAAAGCUCGUAGUUGAACGUUCGGGUUCCGCGGGACGGGGCCGCCCCGCGAGGGGACGGCGCCGCCCCGGGGCUCGUGAUAUCUCAUCUCGCCGCCCGUCGCGAGGCGGACGGAGGGAUGGAUGAGGUUACCUGGAAAAAAUCGG
rnacentral:rRNA from 1 species